UUCCCUGUGGCUCAGUUGGUAGAGCAUGGUGUUUGCAACACCAGGGUUGUGGAUUCGAUUCCCACGGGGGGGG
rfam:Salmo salar isolate Sally breed double haploid chromosome ssa02, whole genome shotgun sequence.